CCUGGCGGCCUUAGCGCGGUGGUCCCACCUGACCCCAUGCCGAACUCAGAAGUGAAACGCCGUAGCGCCGAUGGUAGUGUGGGGUCUCCCCAU
rnacentral:rRNA from 7 species